UACGGAGGAUGCGAGCGUUAUCCGGAUUUAUUGGGUUUAAAGGGUGCGUAGGCGGCUUAGUAAGUCAGCGGUGAAAUUUUGCAGCUUAACUGUAACAGUGCCGUUGAUACUGCCAGGCUAGGAUUUGGUUGCUGUGGGUGGAAUGUGUGGUGUAGCGGUGAAAUGCUUAGAUAUCACACAGAAUAUCGAUUGCGCAGGCAGCUUACUAAACUACUACUGACGCUCAGGCACGAAGGCGUGGGGAUCAAACAGGAUUA
rnacentral:rRNA from 1 species